rnacentral:rRNA from 1 species
CCUACGGGUGGCAGCAGUGAGGAAUAUUGGUCAAUGGACGAAAGUCUGAACCAGCCAUGCCGCGUGCAGGAUGACGGCUCUAUGAGUUGUAAACUUCUUUUAUAUGGGAAUAAAAUGUUCCACGUGUGGGAUUUUGUAUGUACCAUAUGAAUAAGGAUCGGCUAACUCCGUGCCCGCAGGCGCGGUAAUACGGAGGAUCCGAGCGUUAUCCGGAUUUAUUGGGGUUAAAGGGAGCGUAGGUGGAUUGUUAAGUCAGUUGUGAAAGUUUGCGGCUCAACCGUAAAAUUGCAGUUGAAACUGGCAGUCUUGAGUACAGUAGAGGUGGGCGGAAUUCGUGGUGUAGCGGUGAAAUGCUUAGAUAUCACGAAGAACUCCGAUUGCGAAGGCAGCUCACUGGACUGCAACUGACACUGAGGCUCGAAAGUGUGGGUAUCAAACAGGAUUAGAUACCCGUGUAGUC